rnacentral:pre_miRNA from 1 species
GCCACCUGGGGAUCUUGUUAAAAUGAAGAUUCUAACUCAGUUGGUCUUCAGUGUCCAAGAAUUUGCAUUUCUAGCAAGCUCCCAGUUGAUGCCAA